rnacentral:ribozyme from 18 species
AUUUCAAUCAUUUUACACUAGAUAUUGUUUUUCAAAAUUUCUACGAAACAACAAAAGAAAAAAGUAUUAUGAUUGCAUUCUUUGGUGUAUUCCGCGGGAUGCAUUUUAUUGAUCCGAAUAAAUUUCGAAGGUCAUCGUUUUCUUCAGAAGUCUUUUGAGUUGGCCGAAAAUCUGCGGAUUGCAAAACCCGAAAAUGAAUUCGUUGCUCCAAAAGCAGAAAAUGCAUAUCGAAGAGGAUGUAAAGCAUU